rnacentral:rRNA from 1 species
UACGUAGGGUGCAAGCGUUGUCCGGAAUUAUUGGGCGUAAAGAGCUCGUAGGCGGUUUGUCGCGUCUGCUGUGAAAACCCGAGGCUCAACCUCGGGCCUGCAGUGGGUACGGGCAGACUAGAGUGCGGUAGGGGUGACUGGAAUUCCUGGUGUAGCGGUGGAAUGCGCAGAUAUCAGGAGGAACACCGAUGGCGAAGGCAGGUCACUGGGCCGCAACUGA